ACACUGAGAAAGCGGCCUUCUUUUGCCGUGCAUAUGAUGAGGACAGCCAGGGCAUCUUAUGCACCCCUGAAGUAGUCCCAUCCACCGCAUCUGUAUCAGUUCAGAAUGUAUAUCCUUCUCAGACCGUAAUCUGGCCAGGGAGCGGACUGUUUGAAGCAGGUGACGAAGCAAUACUAGACAGCGUUUUGGAUUACGGGAACGAGAGUGGACUUCUAUCUCUAUCUGAAAUUCAUACAACAGACAGGCCCGAGACACCUCCGACUAACGAGUGCAGACCAGAACCCGCUCACAAGGUGGACAAGACUACUUGUACCAGCGAAGACGGUGUCUACCCGCUACUCGUCAUACCCGACACGCCAGAAAAGCAAGGCAGACAACCGGCUAACACUAAAGAAGCUGACACUGACGGAGGACCAUCUGGAUCCGAAAUUAGCAUACCAGAAGCGCCAGGGAAAGCCGUGACUGACGACUCCAGGCCAUACCCCAAACUGAAGCAUUCCACUAGAAGAAGCGGCAGGAGGAAUACGAGGAGAUCAGCUUCAGGACGUCGGGUCUAUCGAGAGGGAAGGUUGUGAAAACUUUUUGGAAAAUACUGACUUCUGUUUGUGAAUUGACUUCAGCGUUGACUAGGUAGAGUCGUGUGUGUUGUAAUGAUGAAUGAUCAAGGGGAAAAUUCGGUCUCGCAGUCAGCUCUGUUAUCUUUACAGUCUUCGG